rnacentral:lncRNA from 1 species
AUGGAGCAGGGAAAUCGGAACAAGCUCAGUGAGGAUCUUGCUUUAUGCGUGGGGUCUGAUUUAAAAAAACCAGCUUGGCACAGAUCACAUCUCCAGGCUCAUGCAAAGCCAGAGCAAGAAUUUAUCACUAGAGACAACCCCCGUGCACAGCUGCCUUCUCUUCUCCCAGGCCUCCUCCAGCUGCUGAGAUGUCCUUACUGCCACGACAGAUGUGCAGCGUGCCCUUCUUUGGCCUCUUUACUUAUCCAGCUUCCACGACUGCAUGAUACUACCACGUUCAGAGGGACAGCAAUACUGGGAAACAGUUAAAUGCAGUUGCAGCUGCUUGUAGCAACACUGCAGCUGAAAACUGCAGCACCUCAUGACCAGAGGACUCUUCUGCUGGUCAGGGAGCCUCCUCACUGAGUACAGCUCACUGCUACCAGCCUGCAUCCCUCCAGGUCCCCCCCAACCACAUCUGUGCACACAACAGAACAAACAUAAGCCAGGAGCUUCACAGCCUUUUUGGAUUAUCAAAUGAAAGCAGCUUUCAGAGCACGGUUGUCAUUGCAGAAUGUAUGUUUAAAGGUGUGUAACAGCUUAGAGAGGAAAAGAGCACUGCAAAAUGUGCCUUUAGGUAUCCAAAAGUCUGUUUUUCCAAGUGUAAAUUGUGCUGCCUCUGUAACAAAAUGCAGAGAUGAUCCUUUCAGUCCUCAGAUGGCUGAUGAAGAUGCCUGUGCUGAGGCAAUCUCUGGAGGCAUCUCUCAUUGUGCACUGAUGAUGGAUGGUCCCAAAUGACUGGUGUGUGCUUAGGCUGCAUCUGAAGAGAGGCAUGGGAGCACCUCCAUGGGCCAGGGUCCAGCUGCAUAGCUACUUGCGGCAGGUGAAGGCAUCAUGGUACAUUUUGGACAGGUCCCCGACUGAGCUGGCUGGGAGACAAGGAGUCUGGGAGCAUGAGAUCAUCCAUCCAUGACUUGGUUAUCUGUAACAUGGGACAUGGCAAAUUCUUCCUCAAGCAUGCAGCUCACACUGACCUAGACUUGCUAAGCCAUCCAGGUGAACCACGCAGGUGGCAGAUCACACCCGUGUCCAAAAUCAGCCUUGAUGGCUUCCUGGUGCUUCAUUC